rnacentral:rRNA from 1 species
UUAUUGGGCGUAAAGAGCUUGUAGGCGGUUGGUCGCGUCUGCUGUGAAAGGCUGGGGCUUAACCCUGGUUUUGCAGUGGGUACGGGCUAACUAGAGUGCAGUAGGGGAGACUGGAAUUCCUGGUGUAGCGGUGGAAUGCGCAGAUAUCAGGAGGAACACCGAUGGCGAAGGCAGGUCUCUGGGCUGUAACUGACGCUGAGAAGCGAAAGCAUGGGGAGCGGACAGGAUUAGAUACCCUGGUAGUCCAUGCCGUAAACGUUGGGCACUAGGUGUGGGGGACAUUCCACGUUUUCCGCGCCGUAGCUAACGCAUUAAGUGCCCCGCCUGGGGAGUACGGCCGCAAGGCUAAAACUCAAAGAAAUUGACGGGGGCCCGCACAAGCGGCGGAGCAUGCGGAUUAAUUCGAUGCAACGCGAAGAACCUUACCAAGGCUUGACAUAUACUGGACUGCGUCAGAGAUGGCGUUUCCCUUCGGGGCUGGUAUACAGGUGGUGCAUGGUUGUCGUCAGCUCGUGUCGUGAGAAG